rnacentral:rRNA from 1 species
GCAGUAGGGGAGUCUGGAAUUCCUGGUGUAGCGGUGAAAUGCGCAGAUAUCAGGAGGAACACCGGUGGCGAAGGCGGGACUCUGGGCUGUUACUGACGCUGAGGAGCGAAAGCAUGGGGAGCGAACAGGAUUAGAUACCCUGGUAGUCCAUGCCGUAAACGUUGGGCACUAGGUGUGGGGCUCAUUCCACGAGUUCCGCGCCGCAGCUAACGCAUUAAGUGCCCCGCCUGGGGAGUACGGCCGCAAGGCUAAAACUCAAAGGAAUUGACGGGGGCCCGCACAAGCGGCGGAGCAUGCGGAUUAAUUCGAUGCAACGCGAAGAACCUUACCAAGGCUUGACAUACACCGGAAUGUGCCAGAGAUGGUUCAGCCCUUUGGGCUGGUGUACAGGUGGUGCAUGGUUGUCGUCAGCUCGUGUCGUGAGAUGUCGGCUUAAGUGCCAUAACGAGCGCAACCCUUUCUGCCAGUUACUAACAGACAAUGCUGAGGACUCUGGCGUUACCG